ACUCCUACGGGAGGCAGCAGUGGGGAAUAUUGCACAAUGGGCGAAAGCCUGAUGCAGCGACGCCGCGUGAGGGAUGAAGGCCUUCGGGUUGUAAACCUCUUUCAGCAGGGAAGAAGCGAAAGUGACGGUACCUGCAGAAGAAGCACCGGCUAACUACGUGCCAGCAGCCGCGGUAAUACGUAGGGUGCGAGCGUUGUCCGGAAUUAUUGGGCGUAAAGAGCUUGUAGGCGGUUUGUCGCGUCUGCCGUGAAAAUCCGGGGCUCAACCCCGGACUUGCGGUGGGUACGGGCAGACUAGAGUGUGGUAGGGGAGACUGGAAUUCCUGGUGUAGCGGUGAAAUGCGCAGAUAUCAGGAGGAACACCGAUGGCGAAGGCAGGUCUCUGGGCCACUACUGACGCUGAGAAGCGAAAGCGCGGGGAGCGAACAGGAUUAGAUACCCUGGUAGUCCACGCCGUAAACGUUGGGAGCUAGGUGUGGGUCUCAUUCCACGAGAA
rnacentral:rRNA from 1 species